rnacentral:rRNA from 1 species
AACGUAGGACGCAAGCGUUAUCCGGAAUUACUGGGCGUAAAGCGCGUGUAGGUGGUUUUAUAAGUCACUGUUGAAAGCUCCCGGCUAAACUGGGAGAGGUGCGGUGAGACUGUAGAGCUAGAGUUUGGGAGAGGGGUGCGGAAUUCCGGGUGUAGCGGUGGAAUGCGUAGAGAUCCGGAAGAACACCGGUGGCGAAGGCGGCCCGCUGGGCAGGAAGGCUCGCAAGAGCCGGCUGACGCUGAGGCACGACAGCGUGGGGAGCAAACAGG